GUAGAAGAAGUUUUCGUAUUAUUGGAUUCAGUGUGAAAUUAGCAAUACAAGUAGACAGUAAGUUUUGAUAAUUAAUAAUUCCCAUUCGUCCUCAAGGAUUCUUGAGGACACUCCAACUAUAGUAGCAAUGCCGGCAAAGAUUUAAUAUUUUGUGAUUCCGUUUCUGCAUUGUAGUGUUGCGCACGAAAGGCGAAGACAAUAAGACUCCUAAAUGUGUCGGAGUCAAUUGCGAACAAGUUAAAGUUAAAAAUAUUUCCAUCACUUUAUCUAUGAAUUGUGCGCUACCACGAAAAUGCUAAACGUGCUUUCUUUUUAAAACCAAACUCGACAUAUUUAUCGUUUAUUUUAGAUUUAAUUAUAAGAAAUAAUUAAGAUGUUCGGUUAAGUUAUAGUUAAGAGCGUAUGUUCGGUCAUAUUUAAUGUAUAUAAAACGUAAAUUCGCAUUCGUUACGAUUAGACA